CCGGCGCCUCGGGCCCCGCGACGUCAGCGCUGGGGCGGGGCCAGGCCCUAAGCCCCGCCCCACCUCGCCUCUACCCCGCCCCCGGCGCCGGCACGCGGACCCGAACGAGGCGACAAGGUCGGUCCUCCCCCGCCGGGCCUUCCCCGCGCUCCCCGGCGCCCCCAGCCCGCUGACCCCCGGCCAGGCAGGCCCGCGGGGGAGGCAGGACCGGAGCCCUGAGGCCCUGGCCGGCCUCGGGGUUGAGGCUCAGCUCGGGAUAAGUGAUCUUUGGGGCCCGCAGAGGACGUCUCCCCAAGACCCAGUGGCAACCGGGUGGCACGUACCUGCCUCUUCUUGGAGUAUGGACGAGUCGAACCGGGCACAAGCAUGGAGCUGCGGGUGAGUCCCGGCUGGCGCUGGCGCGGCGCAGUGAGCACCAGCUGACGAAGAGGGCUCCCCGGCCUCGGCUCCUGCCUGACUCUCUCCC
rnacentral:lncRNA from 1 species